UGACGAACAUCGCUUCAGAAUGCAUGUGUCACUCAAAUUCUUUCUUCUUUUUCUCUUUUAUCCGGAAUAUCUUGAUUAAUAAUAAAAAUAUAAUAAUGAAAAAUAAUACUUAAGCAAGUGCAUCUAAUCAUCGUUUAUCAUGAAAUUUAUAGUACUCAUCGUCGCGUUUGCUACGCAAUGCGUGUACGCCAAAUCGCGAAAUGGAUAUGGUUAUUUCGACGAGAAAUUCUGCGUGCUUGAGUGGAUCACCUACCUGAAGCGACUCUCGUUAAUCGCGUUAAUGUUGUGUGGCGUCGUUUUGUAUUACAUGCCCAAGUCACGUUCAUAUGCUCGAAGAGCAUGUUGCAUCUUGAUAGAUACUGUUGCAAAUGGAUUAAAGUUUGCCUUAGAUACAGAUGAAGUUAAACAUGAAAAGAUAAAAACGAGAUAUGAAAAUGAAAGUAAAGUACUAAGAAUACAAGAAUUAUACAGAAAAGUAUACGAGGAAGAUACAAGAAAUAGUCAAAAAUACAUUAACAAAACGAACUUGGAUAACAAUAAUCAUAAAUCAAUAAGAAAACACAAAAGUAAGAAAUUUCGCGCAAAGCACACUAUCGGUGGAAAACAUGAACGUCAUCGACAUAAUCGUCAUCAUCAAAAUGCGAUCAAUAAUAUGUUGCCGGAAUCCAAUGCAAUGAUAACCGCGUAUGUAUAUGAAAUAGGAUCAUCAUAUCAACUUACCAACAAGUCACAGCAGAUAACAAUAAUCGAUGAGAAAUGCAAAAAAGACAAUGUAAUAGUCCUACAGGAUACUAUUCUGAAAACAACGUGCACAAUGUCGGCGGAUAAAUUACAAAAUAAUAUUGAUUCGGAGCAAGAAAAUUCUUUAAAUAAGAAGGCAGAUUCCAGCACGAUUUCAGAAAUUAUUGAUAAAAAUGAUACCAAGUAUAAACUGAUGAAAUUCAAAACUUCAUCCCAAAAACAGGAGAACAUAAGCAACAUCGAUACUAACACAAAAAUGCAGACUAAACAAAAUUUUGAUGGUAUGAAGUACGAAGAAGUUACAGUUCUUUCCCGACGUCAGUCAAGUAAAGAUUGCGUGACAAUCAUAAACAAGCAAAUGGAUUCUCGUUAUGGUACAGAAAAACUAUUCACAAAGCGACAUGAUGGACUUGGAAAAAAAACCCAUCGAUUUUCUCAUGAUAUAAAAAGUUUUACUCAUGAUUGUUAUGAAAAUUCAUUGAUUACAAAUAAUCGGGUUAAACCAAUCCUACUGCGAGUUGUAAACUGGUUUUUUGGUGGUUGUCCAGCAUCAAGACAACGUCGAGAACAGAUUGACGAAGUCGGAAAGGAAGAAAUUUUCGAAUCUACCAACACGUGGCUCCUCUAAACGAACAAAGUACCUGCAGCAGUAAAGUGCAAAGCUGUCGAUAAACGCAGAGAUCUAUGUCUUCAUCUUAAUGAAACAUUGGUUACAUCGCGAUUAUCCAUCGCGUCGCGGCGCGUACGUUCAUUCCAAUUAUAUCCCGACGCGAAGACGGCACGUUCGUGAGCUUCGGAGGGACAUCGGCCGUUUCAAAUCUCGACCUUCGUCUGCGCACACAUCUGUACCGGAAGCGGGUACCGCAUGUAUAUGGCUUAAGAGCAAUAAGGGAACCAGCGGGCCUCGCGAGCCGCAAGAAGAGAAUGGGGCGAGACAGUCGCGCUAAGACCAAGAUCCGCGGCGGUUCACAAAGCCGCGAAUUCGAAUGAAACUAUUGCCAUUCACGUGACAGACGCGCAAUCAGCCGAUCUGUCUUCUUCCGUUUUUUUAUCAUUCAAUCGUACCAAUAAGUUUGCUGUGCCUUAUCGCUAGUGUCUCGUGCGUUUGAUCUAUUAAUCUUAGGCUACCAAAUUCAUUGUCAAUAGAUAAUUUCGUGAAACAUUCUGUAUUUCAAGUUAGAACUAUGCAUUCUUAUCAUUAUCCGACAAAGUUUAAUUGCAAUAUGAA